CCUACGGGGGGCUGCAGUGGGGAAUAUUGGACAAUGGGGGGAACCCUGAUCCAGCCAUGCCGCGUGUGUGAAGAAGGCCCUCGGGUUGUAAAGCACUUUCAGUGAGGAAGAACGCCUGGUGGUUAAUACCCAUCAGGAAAGACAUCACUCACAGAAGAAGCACCGGCUAACUCCGUGCCAGCAGCCGCGGUAAUACGGAGGGUGCGAGCGUUAAUCGGAAUUACUGGGCGUAAAGCGCGCGUAGGUGGCUUGAUAAGCCGGUUGUGAAAGCCCCGGGCUCAACCUGGGACGGCAUCCGGAACUGUCAAGCUAGAGUGCAGGAGAGGAAGGUAGAAUUCCCGGUGUAGCGGUGAAAUGCGUAGAGAUCGGGAGGAAUACCAGUGGCGAAGGCGGCCUUCUGGACUGACACUGACACUGAGGUGCGAAAGCGUGGGUAGCAAACAGGAUUAGAUACCCGGGUAGUC
rnacentral:rRNA from 1 species